AUUUGGAGAAUGUGAGUUAUGUCCAUACACAUUACAAAUUAUGAAAAUAGCAGUCAAGUUUAACAGUUACUAUGACCCAUCUCCCAUCUUGUGAAGAUGUGGAUUCUCGAACGUCACCUUUAAACUUGUGAAUAAGUGUCAAAACACCAGCAGAAUGACUUGAUCCAUGACUGAAAUAGGCCAUAUCUCCCCAUUGUGAUUUCCAAAAUUUCAAAUCACUUUCACCCGAAUGAGAUUCCUGAAGAAGGACAAAAUCUGCGUUACUGCGUUUACAAUAUAAAAAUAAAGCUUUCCUUUUUGUAAGAUCUCUCAAAUCCCUAGCAUUCAGACUAACGAUAUUGAGUGAGUUGAAAACGAACUCCUGCGUUAAAAAAGAAAGAACACAAACUAGAUAACAGAAGUAGUAAUGUGAACAAUAAAACAAACAGUGAACCUUCAGAGGAUUACUCUGACGGAAAACUACGCUCAGCUGAGGUAGCGGUGGUUAACAGUAUAACAAAUCUAUUUACUUCCUUUUUUUUCCAGUUGGCAAGUGUUCAUCAGUUGUAGUUCGAACGGUACAUUUACUUGUGUCGGUAAAUUAACUGGACUCUUGGCAGUACUCACAGUUCCAGUUUGGUUAAUGUCAACAGAGUUACCCAGUAAUCAUUCUUCCUUCGAUAAACGUGUGUGGGCCCUUGUACCCAGCCUUCUUUCCCUCUUGUCGUGCCUUCUGUAUAAGAGGCCACAGUUUCUCCCUGGCAGUCUGAUCCUGCGGUAUCAGAGCUGCUUUGAUGCGGAGCUACUUCUCGUCCAGAAACGUGUUCCCUUUGGCCAUUCUCCAGAUGAUGUCCCUGUAAUGGCGCAGAGUUAAGCGCAAUAUGAUAUUGCGAGGGGGUCCAUCAGAUCUUCGUUUCCCAAGUCGAUGUACCACAAUCACAUCUCUUAGCCUGUAUUUGAUGCACGAAGCCACCUUUCCCAGGAUAUGAAUGACCGCUUCCCUAAUAUCCUCUCCCUCUACCUCUUUUACACCUUGGAUUUUCAGAUUCCACCUGCGACAGUACCUUUGACGUUCAGCUACAUUCUCACACAGCUCAUUAUUUUGGGAUUGCAGUUUCUUCAACUCAUUCUCUAGGAACGUUAUCUUUUCCAAAUUAUCGAUCAGAUUUGAAGUUUCUUCGGUAGCCCGCUCUAUGGUGGACACUUUGGAGAGCGUGGCGUCUAUUUUAGUAGACAGGGACUGGAUUGCAGAGAAAAGUUCAGACAUGGAAAUGGCCUCUUACUUUUUUCACCGGUGGAUUUUUAAUUGGGGUCUGGGGUAAAGAGGUUGCAAGGAUUUCAUCCUGGUCAGUUUUGUUCUUUCUCUUGCUUGAGGUCGAGGCUUAUUGAGUAUCCAUGCUGAUCUGGUUCUCGUUGUGGCUAGCUAGCAUGUCUGCCGUCUUCUGUGAGACUUGGAUAUUCCGUCUACUAUUGUCUUUCUGUCGUGUUCUUCCCAUUCAACUUUACAAAAACGAACUCUAAACUUAUCCUAUGUUGCUAAAACAAGUUAUGGUUAGUUUAUUUCAAAAUUGAUAGCCAAUAUUAGACUGUUAACCACCUAACCCUCAAUGUUGCUUAGACGAGCGAGAAAACACUCCCUCUCACAGCGACCCCAUCUUGGCUCCCCUGAGAUGGUGAUGUGAGUACUUCAGGUGAUGCUUCUUGCGUGACGUGUAAUCUAAUGGACGGGAGGUUUCUUCAACAACGACAACAGAUUCAACUACGCGGUAGCUUGCAAUCGAAAAUAAAACCGAAACAUUGAAGCGUUUAAGACCAGCCUUGUGUAUAUUACUCUUUGUGUUUUGAACAUAAUUUUGUUUACCUAUCAUCUAGUUAAUUUAAACGUAAUUUGUUUGUUAAAUUAGCAUAUGUGUUACAUUGAUACUGCACUAGGCCAAUCGCCUGGAACAUGAGCUCACUAAACUCGACGGAGAAAUAAACUCUGGUGAAAGGAGAGGAAGAAGCUUUCAGAAUGAAAAAGGAGGAAGAGGAGGCUAUCACAUUAAAAGAAGAAGAGGAUGAUAUUACAGUGAAAGAGAAAGAUGGGAAAGAGGUUGUCAGAGUGGAAAAGGAGGAGGUAGAAGCUUUCAGAAUCAAAAAGGAGGAAGAUGCGGUAACAUUGAAAGAAGAGGAAGAACCUUUUGGAGUAAAAGAGGAAGAGGAGGUUAUCUCAAUAAAAGAGGAGGAAGACGUUUUGGAAGUGAAAAAGGAGGAGGAGGCUGAAGAUCGGAUUACCACCAGAGAGAGACAUGACUAUUGUGGAUCUUCUGGGGAGCAUCAACAACAUCCUGAUGCUGACUAGACAGAGAAGUGUCUCUCCAGAUCAGAACACCAGAUUGUACAGCUUGGACAACGCUAGCCCUUCUGCCCUCCCAGAGUCCUCGUGUCGUGCCUCUCGCGGUAGCACCUUAAUGCUGGGUAUGAAGAGGUUGUCUGUGCUGCUGGUGGACUGCAGGAAAACAACGGGGCUGAGUGGAACUGUGAGAGGAGGAGAAGAGAAGAAAGGAUCAGAUUUAACUCAUCAAAGGGGGCAGCCAUUGGUGGUCCUGGGAGGGCAUUACCCAGCCCAGCCAAUCAUAAUUCAUUUUUCCCCACAAAAUGGCUUUAUUAUAGAGAGAAAUACUCCUCAGUUUCAUCAGCUGUCCAGGUGGCUGGUCUCAGACGAUGUGGACCUCCUGGGCUGACAUUGUUAUAAGUGGUCUGCGGUUGGAUGUACUGCCAAAUUCUCUAACACAACGUUGGAGGCGACUUAUGGUAGAUAAAUUAAUAUUCAGUUCUCUGGCAACAGGUCCGGUGGAUAUUCCUGCAGUCAGCAUGCCAAUUGCUGUUUUGUUGUUGUUGUUGUUUUGUUUCUAAAUGUCUGCGCAAGAGAGAAGGUGUGAUCGAGUUGUGAGAUGGUACUUUUGCACAUAACACUGUGACUGAGGAAAGGCACUACUCCCAAUAUAAGUGAACCCAAAAUCAAUGUAGUUCUCAUCAUAUUUGCGCCUCUUCGAUGGUCUAACGUUCAUGUCUGUUGUUCGGUGCUUUCCCGGGUAAAGGGGCAGUAGCUCUUCGGCUGCAUCAGAUUCACAACUGUUGUAGCUCCCUCCAGUAACCACGAGCACAACCGUUCCUUGAUUUUAACCUGCGGCUUUAUUCUGUAGCUUUAGUCAGAAUUAUCACCUAUCACUAUAAAGUAAAUGAAAAUACAGCACACUCUUACAACCUUCUUGUCUUAUGAGUGACUUAUUAGCUUGUGUUAGGGUUGAACUGGCUAUUUGUAUGCAUAACUUAAAUAAUAUACCGGGGAAGCUAUGCUACAAUAUUAAGUAUAUAAACUACGGGUAAAUUAACUGUUGAAGACAAGAAGAACUACAACCGGCAACAGGAAGUGCGUCACGACGCUGGGAUCAGCCUGCACGCCGACGACAGGAGGAGCAAGUUUAAACCACGCUCCUCCUCCCUCUGACAGGCCAGCAUUGGGCGGGAACUAUCACCGUCAGAGUAUAAAAAGAGAGAACAAUAGAAUGUGACGCGCUCUUCUCUGUCUGCCCUGCGUGGUGUCACAGCGAGACCGUAU
rnacentral:lncRNA from 1 species